rnacentral:tRNA from 1 species
GGUAAAAUGGCCGAAAUAAGGUGAUAAAUUGUAAAUUUAUUAAUGAUUAAGUUCUUUUACUA